rnacentral:rRNA from 1 species
UUGACGGGGGCCCGCACAAGCGGUGGAGCAUGUGGUUUUAAUUCGAUGGUACGCGAGGAACCUUACCAGGGCUUGACAUGUGCCGGAAGCGCACCGAAAGGUGCGUGCCGCUUGCGGCCGGCGCACAGGUGCUGCAUGGCUGUCGUCAGCUCGUGCUGUGAGGUGUUGGGUUAAGUCCCGCAACGAGCGCAACCCCUGCUGCCUGUUGCCACCACGAGAGGUGGGGACUCAGGCGGGACCGCCGGUGACAAACCGGAGGAAGUGGGGACGACGUCAAGUCAUCAUGGCCCUUUAUGUCCUGGGCUACACACGUGCUACAAUGGCCGGUACAGAGCGCAGCGAGGCCGCGAGGCGGAGCGAAUCGCUUAAAGCCGGUCCCAGUACGGAUUGGAGUCUGCAACCCGACUCCAUGAAGUUGGAAUCGCUAGUAAUCGCGCAUCAGCAUGGCGCGGUGAAUACGUUCCCGGGCCUU